rnacentral:rRNA from 1 species
GCUCGAGUGGCGAACGGGUGAGUAACACGUGAGUAACCUGCCCUUGACUUUGGGAUAACUUCAGGAAACUGGGGCUAAUACCGGAUAGGAGCUCCUGCUGCAUGGUGGGGGUUGGAAAGUUUCGGCGGUUGGGGAUGGACUCGCGGCUUAUCAGCUUGUUGGUGGGGUAGUGGCUUACCAAGGCUUUGACGGGUAGCCGGCCUGAGAGGGUGACCGGCCACAUUGGUACUGAGAUACGGCCCAG